rnacentral:lncRNA from 1 species
AUGCUGUAUAACUUCAGUAGUGUUUGUGCACAGUCACACUUAUUGAACGCACCUCUGUUCCUCCUCCACCUGCAGCACACAGCGAGUGUUGCACCGAAGAUGACCACAGCCACGAUUCCCACGCCAGCCGCGAUCAGAACAAACUCUGAUGUCUCUGUGCACACUACAGUCUCAGUAGUGUACUUGAUGCUGAUGGUGUUGUUGGCUGAGCAGCUGAGUGUAGCGCUCUCUCCUAAACUGAGACUGAUGUUCAGCUGUGGUCCUUGAGUCUGAGGACUGAUCCAGCUGUAGGAGGGAUUCUCAUCACCAGACGCCACACACUGAAGAUUAAACUUGCAGAGGUUUUCUGACUGCAGCCAGACAUGAUUGUACAUCUCUGAUGAGCUCUGUCGGAAAAUAAUAUACAGAUAUUAAUUAAAUAAGCAAUUAAGCAUUAUAAUACCUUCAUUAUGAAACAAUUUAACUUUUAAUUUAAAUUUAAAUGAACAUAAACAUAUUCAGUAUCAGUUCUUAAAUUUGUUGUUUAAGAAUUUCUUGUUUUCAUCCUAACAGCAUUAACACAAUAAAUAUCAAACAAUUAAACUCACCAUGAACACGUAGUACAUAUCCUUUUGUCUGAAGUUGUACAGGACCAGAUUUAUUUUCUGCAACAAUGGAGAAUCUUCCAGAAUCCUGGAGUUUAAGGUCUGUUACUGUUACACUAAUACUGUCCUUAUUCAUCUUUAGUCUGUCGUUAAAUAAUUCAGAUUUCACUUUCUGGAAAUCAUCAUUUCGAUACUCAGCAAAUACACUCUGAUCAUAUUUCCACAGCACUUCAAGAUCUUUUUUUGGAUAAUCAGCAAUUAAUUCCAGCGAGUCUCCAACAGCUCUGUGUAGCUCAACAUCUGGAUCAGCACACGACCCUACAAUACAGAACAAACAACAACACAUGAUACUCUCACUAAUUCAUGCCCACAUUUCCACAUUCAACAGAUGAUUACAUGCAUCGAUUAACACAUUUCAUUUAAUAAAUAAAUAAAUAUAAUUAAAUCAGACAUCUGCCCUCUGCUGGCUGGUUAUAGACACUAAAGAAGGAGAGACCUGACACUUUGUCAAUGUCAAGGUCAACUUUAAUAUCACCAAGAGGGCAAUUAGUUCCAACUUUAAACAAGAAAAUAACAGGCUACUUUCACUUGAGUCACUUUUUUUUUUCCACUUUUAGUCUAAAUCUGGCUGCAACAGACAUUACCGUUGAAACUGACCUCAUUCUCUAAAGAUAAGGCUUGAGGUUUCCUGAGCUGAACUCUUUUCUCACAGAUCAAACACUGAUGUGGACUAACUGUUCAUGAUCAUUUGCUUCCAACAGUCAAAUAUAAACACACAAUACAUUUUUUAUUUUGAAAUCCCUUUAAGUAUCGAUUACAGUAAACACAUUUAGUUUCAUAUUUAGUAAAAAUAAACAUAUCCCCUAUCUGGACAGUAAUAGUUUCUCAGAGUUCUGUGAUCAAACACACAUGAUCACAUGACUGUCUGCUGUAAAUAACAUGUCAAAUGCUUUGAAUAAUAAUAGAUUCAUAUUAAAUAAUAUCCUACUCAUUAAUUAUUUAAACUUCCUGUUGUAAUAUAGGAAGAAAGACGCACUAUAGUGGUUUAAUUAUACAGGAUGUAGUUAUUGUAUAUAAUAAGGUUACAUGUUUUAAAGUUGUAUUGCACACACACCUGUUAAAAAUGACACAUUUCAAAUAUA